UUAAGUGGCGGUGUGUUGACUUA
rnacentral:siRNA from 1 species